AAGAGACAUAAAGGCUAGAAUAGGAAAAUCCAACAUGAGCCUAAUUAGAGUGCCAGAAGGAGAAGAGAUGGAAUGGAGCAGAGGAAAUAUUUGAAGAGAUAAUGGCUAUGAAAUUUCUAAACUAAUGAAAGUCACAUAAUUGAGAAAUUCAUAUAAAUUUAUAUAAUUGAGAACCUCAUGCAGAAAAAAAUACAAAAUAAACCCACACCUAGAUAGACCACAUUGAAACUUCAGAACACCAAAGACAAAAGCGUCCUAAAUGCAGCUGGAGAUGCAUGGAAAAUGACCUUCAAGGGAGUGACUGAGAGAUGAUGUUUUCUAGCGACAAGGAAAGCCAGAGGAGGACAAUGGACGAGACCUUCGAGGUGAUAAUGGAAACUAAUGACCCAGAAUUCUGUAUCCUGUAAAAAUAUCUUUCAGGAACCAGGACAAAAUGAAGACAUUUUCGGACAAACUGAGUUUACUACGGAAGAUUCUCAUUAAAGAAACAUUUAAAAGGUGUAAGGAAUUGGUAUCACAGGGUGAUCUGACAAGGAAGAAGGAAUGAAGGAUAUAGAAAGAGGUUAUGCUUGUUUGCUGAUGGAAAUGAUCCAGAAGAGAAGGACAAGUUGACGAUUGAGAGGGUUAAUGUCAGGUAAGAAACUUGAGUGGACAUUGAGGAAAGAGCGAGGUUCAGUGGACUGGAGGUUUGUGGUGGUUUCAUGACACGUGGACUGGAGAUUUGCAGUGGUUUUAUGACACAUGGACUGGAGGUUUGUGGUGGUUUCAUGACACAUGGACUGCAGAUUUGCAGUGGUUUUAUGACACAGCUCCUAAGUUCUUUGACACUCUUCCCAUGGAGGGGUAGGGUCUGUGACCCCCCUCUUGAAGCUGGGUAGGCUUGCAACUGCUUUGGCCAAUAGUCACAGCAGCAG
rnacentral:lncRNA from 1 species